AUGGAGGGUAUAUUGGAAAAUAUUCCUCUUUUAUUUUGUUUCUCCAUUCCUCACCACUCUUAUCUGAAUUUGUGGCAGGCAAGAGCUCUGCAAGUGUCUCCUGUUCACAUCCGUCAAGUGGUAUUUGGACAACACCCGUCCAGGAGAGCAAGAUUGUGUGCGCCCAGCGACUGAAGAGGAAACCAACUAUGUGCUUUGAUAUAUCUGUCAUGCUUCAGCAGGCGCUAACAAGGAUGACUCUGAGACACUACAGACCCUGCAUAAUAUAGGCCUGUAUUCUUCAAAAUUAUUUUUUUACAGGUGGUCUUAUCAGUUUUACUUGGCUUUUAGUGAAGUAUUUACAUUUAACUUUUAUCCACUCUUAAAAAUAAUGGUUCCAGUGAACAGUUCUUUAAAGGGGUCCUAUUAUGGUCUUUUACAAAGUGUUGAUUUUGUUUUGGGGGGUGUACUAGAACAUGCUCUCAUGCUUGGUGAUUCGAAAAAUGCAUUAUUUUUCACAUAAUUUACAUUAUUAAAAUACCUUUCUCCCUAGCCUGGCACAAACGGCUCGAUUAGUUCCGGGUUUGAUGAAGGCCCACCUUCCGAAAAACAAAAUGUGUUGUGAUUUGUUAGCUGCCCCAGUGCAUUGUGAUUGGCGAACAGCUUAGACAUGUUUCAGUACUGCCACACCCCUUGCCAAAGCAGCAAGUUUUGUCUGCUCCAGUAUAGUUAAGGAUGGCGUCAAUAUUGCCAUAUCAGUUUGAGCCGGCGGGAAUUAUUUUAAUGAUAUUCUAAUGCGCCACUUUGUGAAAUCAUAAAAUCAAGGAAAACAACGCUGUAGUCCAAACGAGCCAUUCGUUGUAGUUCUUGAAAAGGAUGUCUCCCUUUGGAGAGGACUUUGAGAUUUGUAACUUUGUAGACUUUUUUAUGCCCAAACAUACACGCUACACACUGACUAAAAUUCAAAAAGUGAAAAAAGCAUAUUAGGACCCCUUUAAAUAUUUUAGUAGUGAAGAACAUUUUAAUAAUCUGAAGAACCUUCUUCAUUAGACUUUUGUGGAAUGGAAAGGUGGAAAGGUUCCAUGAAUGUUAAAGGUUCUUCAUGGAACCAUCAAUGCCAAUAAGAAACCUUGGUAAUACCUUAUUUUAAGGUGUCCUUGUUACACAUGUUAUUUACUAUUAUAAUAACAAUACAUUAUGCAUAAUUACAUGCAAGUAACCCUAAGCCAAACCCUAAUACUAACCCUAGCCAUAUAGUAAGUACAUAGUUAAUUAAUAUUACUCAGUAUAUGUAUAAUUACACUGUAACAAGGAUGCCUUAAAAUAAAGUAUAAAUGAAACCUUUAUUUUUAAGAACC
ensembl:lncRNA